rnacentral:rRNA from 1 species
UACGUAGGGUGCAAGCGUUAAUCGGAAUUACUGGGCGUAAAGCGUGCGCAGGCGGUUUUGUAAGUCUGACGUGAAAUCCCCGGGCUCAACCUGGGAAUUGCGUUGGAGACUGCAAGGCUAGAAUCUGGCAGAGGGGGGUAGAAUUCCACGUGUAGCAGUGAAAUGCGUAGAGAUGUGGAGGAACACCGAUGGCGAAGGCAGCCCCCUGGGUCAAGAUUGACGCUCAUGCACGAAAGCGUGGGGAGCAAACAAGGAUUAGA